CACGGCUAACUACGUGCCAGCAGCCGCGGUAAUACGUAGGUGGCGAGCGUUAUCCGGAAUGAUUGGGCGUAAAGGGUGCGUAGGUGGCAGAUCAAGUCUGGAGUAAAAGGUAUGGGCUCAACCCGUACUGGCUCUGGAAACUGAUCAGCUAGAGAACAGAAGAGGACGGCGGAACUCCAUGUGUAGCGGUAAAAUGCGUAGAUAUAUGGAAGAACACCGGUGGCGAAGGCGGCCGUCUGGUCUGGAUUCUGACACUGAAGCACGAAAGCGUGGGGAGCAAAUAGGAUUAGAUACCCUAGUAGUCCACGCCGUAAACGAUGAGAACUAGGUGUUGGGGGAAUAACUCAGUGCCGCAGUUAACGCAAUAAGUUCUCCGCCUGGGGAGUAUGCACGCAAGUGUGAAACUCAAAGGAAUUGACGGGGGCCCGCACAAGCGGUGGAGUAUGUGGUUUAAUUCGAAGCAACGCGAAGAACCUUACCAGGCCUUGACAUCCCUUGCAGAGGUAUAGAGAUAUAUCCGAGGUUAUCAAGGAGACAGGUGGUGCAUGGUUGUCGUCAGCUCGUGUCGUGAGAUGUUGGGUUAAGUCCCGCAACGAGCGCAACCCUUGUGAUAUGUUACUAACAUUGAGUUGAGGACUCAUAUCAGACUGCCGGUGAUAAACCGGAGGAAGGUGGGGAUGACGUCAAAUCAUCAUGCCCCUUAUGGCCUGGGCUACACACGUGCUACAAUGGUGCUAACAGAGAGAGGCGAAGCCGCGAGGUGGAGCAAAGCUCAAAAAUGGCAUCUCAGUUCGGAUUGUAGUCUGCAACUCGACUACAUGAAGCUGGAAUCGCUAGUAAUCGCGAAUCAGCAUGUCGCGGUGAAUACGUUCUCGGGCCUUGUACACACCGCCCGUCAAACCAUGGGAGUUGGUAAUGCCCGAAGCCGGUGGCAUAACCCUUCGGGGAGUGAGCCGUCGAAGGCAGGACCGAUGACUGGGGUUAAGUCGUAACAAGGUAUCCCUACGGGAACGUGGGGAUG
rnacentral:rRNA from 1 species